rnacentral:lncRNA from 1 species
UGUUCAGGUCCUUGGCCCAUUUAUGAUUGGGUUAUUUGUUUUUUUUGGUGUUUAACUUUUUGAGUUCUUUAUAUAACCUAGAGAUUAGUGCUCUAUCUGAUGUGCGAGGGGUAAAGAUUUGCUUCCAAGAUGUAGGCCAAUUGACACCUUUUUUAAAAAAAUAUAUUUUUAGUUGUGGAUGGACCCAGUAUCUUUGUUUAUUAAUUUAUUUUUAUGCAGUGCUGAAAGAUCGAACCCAGUGCCUCAUACGUGUGAGGCAAACACUCUACCACUGAGCUAUAGCCCCAGCCCUCCAGGUUCUUUUUGUAGAUUUUAAAGGCACUCUGUUCUGCCAUCUUAUAUAUUCUUGGAAGGUUUGGGGAAAGUGUCAUUACAAGUGCUGAGGAGUGCCAUCAAACAGAUAUAACUAAUUUAGUACUCCAUCAGGGCCUCUGGUGUGGGACCUGAACUGUGACUUGGAUGCUGUAAAUACAGUAAGUAUGGCCCAGGCCUGUGCAUUUCUCACUGUUUGGUCAAGCCUCAAGCAGACUGGAGGCUGAUUAUCAGUCACUCAUGCCAUGGAUCACUUCCAAGGGCCUCCCUCCCUGUGGGGAAAGUGAGUUUUUCAUCAAGUGCCCCAACACAGAAAUUGUCAGUCUGCAGGUGGCUCUCUAUCUAUUUGGCUUUUCCUCCAAGAAGGAGUUGGGAGAGGGUUAAAUCCCAUACACAAGAUACUUGUUCAGAAACAUUAGUCAGCUCUGACAUUCUGUGACUUCAUAAAAAUGCAAACACCCUUUUUCUCAGCCAUAUGUAACCCUAGAAAAAAUUAACCUGGUC